UACAGAGGUCUCAAGCGUUUGUUCGGAUUCAUUGGGCGUAAAGGGUGCGUAGGCGGCGCGGUAAGUCGGGUGUGAAAUCUCGGAGCUUAACUCCGAAACUGCAUUCGAUACUGCCGUGCUUGAGGACUGGAGAGGAGACUGGAAUUUACGGUGUAGCGGUGAAAUGCGUAGAUAUCGUAAGGAAGACCGGUGGCGAAGGCGACUUCCUGGCCUGUUCUUGACGCUGAGGCGCGAAAGCUAGGGGGAGCAAACGGG
rnacentral:rRNA from 1 species